UACGAAGGGGGGCUAGCGUUGUCCGGAAUCAUUGGGCGUAAAGCGCGCGUAGGCGGUCAGGAAAGUCCGGUGUGAAAGUCAUAGGCUCAACCUAUGGAUGCCGCUGGAAAACUGCCCUGACUUGAGUCCGGAAGGGGCGAGUGGAAUUCCUGGUGUAGCGGUGAAAUGCGCAGAUAUCAGGAGGAACACCAAUGGCGAAGGCAGCUCGCUGGAACGGUACUGACGCUGAGGCGCGAAAGCGUGGGGAGCAAACAGG
rnacentral:rRNA from 1 species